rnacentral:tRNA from 1 species
GGGGGAUUAGCUCAGUUGGUAGAGCGCUUGCAUGGCAUGCAAGAGGUCACGAGUUCGAAUCUCGUAUUCUCCA